AUCAAAGGAGUAGGUUCAGUAAGACCCCUUUUUGGCCCCAAAAUAUAGCAGUUUUAGAAAAUUGUGAAAAUGUAAUCUUUAAACUAUAUUUUGGAAAGUAAAAUGCUUCUGCUACAUAGAUAUGAGCUGUUUUUGAAACUACAAUGCACAAAUAUCACGUUCUAGCAUCAUUAAGUCAUGCUAAAUUACUGAAAUCUUCAAACUUUUAGCAUUUUGGUUAAUUUUUAGACGGUUUCCUUCUAAAAUGAAAGUGGCGGCAUUUGUGUUCAUUCAU
rnacentral:lncRNA from 1 species